AUUGAACGCUGGCGGCAGGCCUAACACAUGCAAGUCGAGCGAGCGGCGGACGGGUGAGUAAUGUAUGGGGCUCUGCCCGAUAGAGGGGGCUAACUACUGGCAACGGUGGCUAAUACCGCAUACUAUCGGCUGAACCCAUCGGGGAUUGGCUAGUAGUUGGGGUAAAGGCUCACCUAGGCGACGAUCUCUCGCUGGUCUGAGAGGAUGAUCAGCCACACGGGGACUGAGACACGGCCAAGACUCCUACGGGAGGAAGCAGUGGGGAAUAUUGCAAAAUGGGCGCAAGCCUGAUGCAGCCAUGCCGCGUGUAUGAAGAAGGCCUUAGGGUUGUAAAGUACUUUCAGCGGGGAGGCGUUACCCGCAGAAGAAGAACCGGCUAACGCCGUGCCAGCAGCCGCGGUAAUAC
rnacentral:rRNA from 1 species